rnacentral:rRNA from 1 species
GACGAGCGCUGGCGGCGUGCUUAACACAUGCAAGUCGAACGGAAAGGCCCUGCUUUUGUGGGGUGCUCGAGUGGCGAACGGGUGAGUAACACGUGAGUAACCUGCCCUUGACUUUGGGAUAACUUCAGGAAACUGGGGCUAAUACCGGAUAGGAGCUCCUGCUGCAUGGUGGGGGUUGGAAAGUUUCGGCGGUUGGGGAUGGACUCGCGGCUUAUCAGCUUGUUGGUGGGGUAGUGGCUUACCAAGGCUUUGACGGGUAGCCGGCCUGAGAGGGUGACCGGCCACAUUGGGACUGAGAUACGGCCCAGACUCCUACGGGAGGCAGCAGUGGGGAAUAUUGCACAUUGGGCGGAAGCCUGAUGCAGCAACGCCGCGUGCGGGAUGACGGCCUUCGGGUUGUAAACCGCUUUCGCCUGUGACGAAGCGUGAGUGACGGUAAUGGGUAAAGAAGCACCGGCUAACUACGUG